rnacentral:piRNA from 1 species
CCAGGGGCUUAACCAUGAU